ACCGUUUUUAAUUUUUGAGUGUUUCUGAAAUAACUCCCAGAGACUGUUCAAGAAACAAUGACAUGGCUAAAUUUAGGAAACCACAUCCACAAAGUCCCAGGCCCCAGAAGCAGGCACCCUCUGCCCAUUUCUGAAAUAAGCUCUCAGGCCUUGGUGGUAGCCUGAGCUGCUCCCAGGGUUGUGAGCUGCUGAAUCUUCUGGCUCAUCAUCUCUACGACAGCCUGUUUCACGGCAUGCUUCUCCUGCAGAGCUGGCUGGAUUUUUUCCAUUUGCUUGAAGAGUCAUCAAAGUUGAGUUAACC
ensembl:lncRNA